rfam:TPA: Bos taurus chromosome 18, whole genome shotgun sequence.
UCCCUGGUGGCUCAGACGGUAAAGCGUCUGCCCGCAAUGCGGGAGACCUGGGUUCGAUUCCUGGGUCGGGAA